rnacentral:rRNA from 1 species
GACGAACCGAGCGAACGUUGUUCGGAAUCACUGGGCUUAAAGGGCGCGUAGGCGGGCUGCCGCGUCCGGGGUGAAAUCCCACGGCUCAACCGUGGAACGGCCCCGGGUACGGGCGGCCUCGAGGGGGGUAGGGGCGUGCGGAACUCAGGGUGGAGCGGUGAAAUGCGUAGAUAUCCUGAGGAACACCGGUGGCGAAAGCGGCGCGCUGGACCCCUUCUGACGCUGAGGCGCGAAAGCCAGGGGAGCAAACGGG